rnacentral:rRNA from 1 species
GAUGAACGCUGGCGGCGUGCUUAACACAUGCAAGUCGAACGGAAAGGCCCUGCUUUUGUGGGGUGCUCGAGUGGCGAACGGGUGAGUAACACGUGAGUAACCUGCCCUUGACUUUGGGAUAACUUCAGGAAACUGGGGCUAAUACCGGAUAGGAGCUCCUGCUGCAUGGUGGGGGUUGGAAAGUUUCGGCGGUUGGGGAUGGACUCGCGGCUUAUCAGCUUGUUGGUGGGGUAGUGGCUUACCAAGGCUUUGACGGGUAGCCGGCCUGAGAGGGUGACCGGCCACAUUGGGACUGAGAUACGGACCAGACUCCUACGGGAGGCAGCAGUGGGGAAUAUUGCACAAUGGGCGGAAGCCUGAGGCAGCAACGCCGCGUGCGGGAUGACGGCCUUCGGGUUGUAAACCGCUUUCGCCUGUGACGAAGCGUGAGUGACGGUAAUGGGUAAAGAAGCACCGGCUAACUACGUG